UCUCUCUCUCUCUCUCUCUCUCUCUCCUACUUGCUUUCUUCAAUAAUUAAUAUUCAAUAAUUUUCUCUUUUGAGCUUUUGAUUUUGGUUAGCGAAAGUAAAUGUUGAUGGAGUUGCAGGGUCACCUAAUCCAAUACCCAUUUAUUAACUUCUUGAUUCUUGGCAUCACCCAGAGCUCCAAACUAUAAGUAUUUACAUUCAAUCUUUUCGCCCCAAGUUCUUCAUUCAAGAUUAAUUUUUUUUAAAAAAAAAUGUCUGCUUUAGAAAUGUCC
rnacentral:misc_RNA from 1 species